AUCCAGUCGACGGGUCCUAAAUAGGACGAAACGCGCGUCCUAAAU
rfam:Schistosoma mansoni strain Puerto Rico chromosome 6, complete genome